rnacentral:rRNA from 1 species
ACAGAGGGUGCGAGCGUUGUCCGGAAUCACUGGGCGUAAAGGGCGCGUAGGCGGCCUGGUAAGCAGGGGGUGAAAUUCUGCGGCUCAACCGCAGAGCUGCCUUCUGAACUGCCAGGCUGGAGCACGGUAGAGGCAGAUGGAAUUCCUGGUGUAGCGGUGGAAUGCGUAGAGAUCGGGAAGAACACCAGUGGCGAAGGCGGUCUGCUGGGCCGUUGCUGACGCUGAGGCGCGACAGCGUGGGGAGCAAACAGGA